GAUGAAGAACGCAGCAAAAUGCGAUAAGUAGUGUGAAUUGCAGAAUUCAGUGAAUCAUCGAAUCUUUGAACGCACAUUGCGCCCCUUGGUAUCCCGAGGGGCAUGCCUGUUCGAGCGUCAUUUCACCACUCAAGCCUGGCUUGGUGUUGGGCGACGUCCUCUUUGGGGACGCGCCUCGAAACGCUCGGCGGCGUGGCACCGGCUUUAAGCGUAGCAGAAUCUUUCGCUUUGGAAGUCGGGGCCCCGUCUGCCGGAAGACCUGCUCGCAAGGUUGACCUCGGAUCAGGCAGGGAUACCCGCUGAACUUAAGCAUAUCAAUAAGCGGAGGA
rnacentral:misc_RNA from 1 species